rnacentral:tRNA from 1 species
CAAAAACUAGCUUAAACAAAGCAUCCAACUUACAAUUGGAAGACGCCGAAUAGUCCGGCCUUUUUGA